ensembl:lncRNA
CGUGGAGAGCGAGAGCAAUGAGGCGAGCGGCAAAUUCAAGCAAAAUACCAAAGACUGGUUACAAUGUCUUAAAAACGUAAAUAUUCCUUUGCAAGCUAGCACAGGAUUCCGACCUGGAGCCAGUUACUGUGUGGCCGAGGUCUUUAACAACGUCAAUCAGGUAUGUAUUUUCUUUAAUAAUAAGACAUUAAUCAAUGCAUGUGACGAAUGAAAACAAGCACUAUUAAAGUCAACAAAAUAGAGCUUUCAAAAAUUACUGUAUAAGUGCGACAGAUCCUUAAAUAUACCUUAAGUGUAUAAAUGAUUGCAACUGCACUGAAUGUUAUAGUUUGCAUUAGUUUAUUUAACGCUAACAGCCUGUGUGUGGGUUUAUGAACAUGCUUUAUAAAAAAAGAAGAGGAGGAGGAUUUGAUUGGUUGGCACGUUGCCAGUGUAUUGUCAGUCACCGAGUGUAAACAAGACUCUGAUUGGCUGCUCGCCAGUCCUCAUUGGGCUAUCUGGAAAAAAAAGGAAGAAAUAACUGGAUCUGCGGUUUCAAGGCGUCCCAGGUUAGAAAUGAUGAAAACAGAUAAGAAGGAACUGUUUCAAGGCGCUCCAAAAGGCGGACCCUCUGUGGCCCUGGAGCCGUACUCGGAGGACGCGAGAAGAAGUAGAGAAAGAAAUGUUCGAUGUGCUGAAGGAUUCAAAUUUGUUGCGCAGUAUCUGGAACAGAUAAACAUGAAACAGUCACAUGGCGGAUCUCGGAGCACAACGAAGACGACGGCUGUGAAUCGCCGGAUCGGCUUUUACCAUGGACAAAGCGGAUUCCAGCCCGGGGUUGUCACAUGUGGUUGCCCGUCGGCCACUCCUUUGUCAAAUACACUGGCCGCGCCAUUCUCAAGCACGCCGGCCGUUCGUCAGUUCCAACUUUGCAAGGACAGUCUUGCACUUCUGACUCAAAGUCUGUAAGUAUGUUUUUUAUAUUUAACAAAUUUGCCACUGAUGAUUCAAACGCGAGUUUUGAUCAGUGUAGAGUAGCGCUUGUUGUUUGUCAUUUCUCCAGACAUGGUUUUAUGUUUACACAGCGCGAUACACAACAUAAUGCGUAAAAAGACAGUAUAAGUCAUUAUAAUCAGUAAUUAUGUCCCCACUGGGUGCAACAAAUGCCUUGUUUAUAAUGGGUUUUAUUGUUUUUGUCUUGUUGUGCACAGGGCAUAUGUAAUGCAAGUAUGUUAAGGGGCACAACAUUUCCGUCACGCGCUUGAGGUAUUCAGCCAAUCACAAUGCACUGGAUAGCUGGCCAAUCAGCCCACUUGCACUGCUUGUCACAUGUUUAGUGUAGCUUUCUCUGUCAGCGGCGAGGGAUUCACAUGUGAUAAAUGCAGGGAUAUAGUUAGGCUGCUAUUACUACUAGCUCAGCGAGUCCCAUACGUGUUUGGUUCCGGUUGCAGAGCCCCCACAUCACGGCGACUGGGUGACUGUGAGACAGCAUAGUCACGGGUCAAAACACUGAUCUUACUUUCUGAUUAAAACUUUAAACAGGUUCUCCCCACUCAGUGACGCACCCACUGAGACACCUGUUGAAAGAGCCCUAGUUAUUGGCUAUUCUAUUGUAUGGAAAAUGAAAAUAGAGAUACCAGCCACCAUAGUCCUAUGUUUACCAGGAGCCAAAGCGCCUGACAUCUUGGCAAAUUUGAAAGUGCUGGCUAAUGCUAAAUGUAAAUUCAGUAAGAUUAUUAUUCACAUCGGCACUAAUUAUGUCCGACUUCGCCAGUCGGAGAUCACUACAAAUAACAUUAAAGAGGUGUGUGAACUUGCAAGUACGAUGUCAGACACUGUAAUACAUAGCAGGCUGUCAUCACUCAAUGGCUGGAUGUCUAAGUGGUGCCCGCAGAAUAACAUUAGACAAUUUUUUGGGGCAGAACUGACCUGUUGAAAAGAGGUGCUGUUCUUCUCUCUAGAAAUAUGG